rnacentral:rRNA from 1 species
UACGGAGGGUGCAAGCGUUAAUCGGAAUUACUGGGCGUAAAGCGCACGUAGGUGGUUUGUUAAGUCAGCUGUGAAAUCCCCGGGCUCAACCUGGACACUGCAGUUGAAACUGGCAAGCUAGAGUAGGGUAGAGGGGUGUGGAAUUCCAGGUGUAGCGGUGAAAUGCGUAGAUAUCUGGAGGAACAUCAGUGGCGAAGGCGACACCCUGGACUCAUACUGACACUGAGGUGCGAAAGCGUGGGGAGCAAACAGG